rnacentral:misc_RNA from 1 species
AAAUUUUUUGACAGAAUGGCUGCUGAUGUACAACAGGCGCAUCGUCCUGGCGCUUUGAAACAACAGAAUAAGUCACAUAAACACGGAAAACACAAAAGUAAAGGUCAACUCGACAAAGAAACUAAAGGAAGAGUCAAUGUGAAGACAGCUACUAAAAGAAAUAAAUUUCUACAGAGAAAACAUGACAGAAAACAUCAUGCAGAUCAAAUACGGAAGCAAAAAAGGGAAGAAAUUCUAAACCAGAAAAGGAGUAGAGGGGGCAAUACCUCACCUCCUCAAUUUGUGGUGGUGCUUUUACUGCAUGAGGGUCUGGGCGUUAGUAGUUUACUAGAUACCUUGAAGUCAUGCGAUGAAUCUGCAAUAGUCACACAGAAUGAGCAAGGAGUCAUCCAUGUUAGUAUCCCGCGAUUCAAGCAGCGAGUUUCCUUUUAUGUCCCUGAGUUUGGCAAUCUCUACGCUGUCCUAGAUUCUGUGAAGGUGGCCGACUCUCUGCUCUGUGUCCUGUCCCCCCAGGGAGGUAUGUUCAAAUACAUAUUGCAAAUGUGCCAAAGGAUUUUAUGUUGUCUUACAAACCUGGGAUGCCUGUUGUGAUUUUUGGCCUACUACAGCAUGAGCACAAGAUGUCUGUCCUCAACUUCCUGUUGAAGAGGGUACCAGAAUACCGGCCACCAAUCAAAUCCAAGGACAGGUUGAUAUUCCAUGUCGGCUUCAGGAGAUAUUCGGCCUGUCCUAUAUUCUCACAGCAUACUAACGCAAAUAAACACAAGUUUGAGAGGUUUUUUGCUCAUGAUACUGUUACCAUGGCUACCAUAUUUGGACCUAUAUCGUUCCCGCCAUGUCCUGUCCUGGUUUUCAAAGAGCAGCACAAUGGUCAGCAUGAGUUAAUAGCUACAGGAAGUCUUCACUCUGUAAAUCCGGACAGAAUCGUCACAAAGAGGAUUGUUCUCAGUGGCCAUCCGUUCAAGAUCAACAAGAGAUCCGCUGUCGUCAGAUACAUGUUCUUCAACAGAGAGGACAUUGAAUGGUUUAAACCUGUGGAACUCCACACCAAAUGGGGAAGGAGAGGCCAUAUCAGGGAACCUCUAGGAACCCAUGGUCACAUGAAGUGUGUUUUUGAUGGGCAUUUGAAGUCACAGGACACAGUUUUGAUGAACUUGUACAAGAGGAUGUUCCCUAAAUGGACUUACAACCCCACAGUACUAAACCCUCCUCCAAUGCUGGAGAGUUCCCAGUCGAUGGUGUCAGAACCCUCAGCUUAUCAAUUAUUUGAUGAUUAACUGUUUUGUUUUACUUCUUAAGAAUAAAAAACUUUGAAGCUUC